rnacentral:rRNA from 1 species
GUACCUGCAGGAAGAGAAAGAAAAUUCGAUUCCCUGAGUAGCGGCGAGCGAAACGGGAAAAGCCCAAACCAGCAAGCUUGCUUGUUGGGGUUGUAGGACUCCAAUAUGGUAGUUCUUUCAGAUAGUCGAAUGACUUGGAAAAGUCAGUCAAAGAGGGUAAAAACCCCGUAGACGAAAUGUGGAAGACACCUAGGAGGAUCCUGAGUACGGCGGAACACGAGAAAUUCCGUCGGAAUCCGGGAGGACCAUCUCCCAAGGCUAAAUACUCCCUAGUGACCGAUAGUGAACCAGUACCGUGAGGGAAAGGUGAAAAGCACCCCGGAAGGGGAGUGAAAUAGAACCUGAAACCGUGUGCCUACAACAAGUCAAAGCCCGUUAAUGGGUGAUGGCGUGCCUUUUGUAGAAUGAACCGGCGAGUUACGAUUGCAUGCGAGGUUAAGUUGAAGAGACGGAGCCGCAGCGAAAGCGAGUCUGAAUAGGGCGUUUGAGUAUGUAGUCGUAGACCCGAAACCAUGUGAUCUACCCAUGUCCAGGUUGAAGGUGCGGUAAAACGCACUGGAGGACCGAACCCACGUACGUUGAAAAGUGCGGGGAUGAGGUGUGGGUAGCGGAGAAAUUCCAAACGAACUUGGAGAUAGCUGGUUCUCUCCGAAAUAGCUUUAGGGCUAGCCUCGGAAUUGAGAAUGAUGGAGGUAGAGCACUGUUUGGACUAGGGGCCCAUCUCGGGUUACCGAAUUCAGAUAAACUCCGAAUGCCAUUCAUUCAUAUCCGGGAGUCAGACUGUGAGUGAUAAGAUCCAUAGUCGAAAGGGAAACAGCCCAGACCACCAGCUAAGGUCCCAAAAUAUAUGUUAAGUGGAAAAGGAUGUGGGGUUGCACAGACAACUAGG